rnacentral:RNase_P_RNA from 1 species
CCAGACGGCCGGAUAGCCGCGGUCAGCAAUGAUCGAGGAAAGUCCGGGCUCCACGGAAACAAGGUGCCGGCUAACGGCCGGCGGGGGCGACCCCAGAGACAGUGCAACAGAAAGCAAACCGCCUUGGCUUGCCAAGGUAAGGGUGAAAGGGUGCGGUAAGAGCGCACCGCGCGGCUGGUAACAGUCGUGGCACGGUAAACCUCACCUGGAGCAAGACCAAAUAGGGAUGGCCGGUUGGGCAAGCUUGCUUGUGCCAACAGAUGCGUUUCCGCAUCGUCGUCCGGGUCGGUCGCGCGAGGUGCUUGGCAACAAGCACCCCAGAGGAAUGGCUAUCCAUGGGCUUUAAGCCCAGGACAGAACCCGGCUUAUAGGCCGUCUGGCACC